rnacentral:rRNA from 1 species
GACGAACGCUGGCGGCGUGCCUAACAUAUGCAAGUCGAACGGGACUUGAGGGGCUUGCUCCUUAAGUUUAGUGGCGAACGGGUGAGUAACGCGUGAGGAACCUACCUUCCAGUGGGGGACAACAGUUGGAAACGACUGCUAAUACCGCAUGAUGCAGCGAGCCCGCCUGGUUUUGCUGUCAAAGCUUUAUGUGCUGGACGAUGGCCUCGCGUCUGAUUAGCUAGUUGGUGGGGUAACGGCUCACCAAGGCGACGAUCAGUAGCCGGUCUGAGAGGAUGAACGGCAACAGUGGGACUCAGAUACGGCCCAGACUCCUACGGGAGGCAGCAGUGGGGAAUAUUUGGCAAUGGGGGAAACCCUGACCCAGCAACGCCGCGUGAAGGAAGAAGGCCUUCGGGUUGUAAACUUCUUUUAGCAGGGACGAAGGACGUGACGGUACCUGCAGAAAAAGCAACGGCUAACUACGUGCCAGCCGCCGCCGUAAAAC